rnacentral:tRNA from 1 species
GGGGUUGUGGCUCAGCGCUAGAGCGCUCAUCUAGCACAUGGGAGGCCCUGGGUUCCAUCCUCAGCACCA